AUUGAACGCUGGCGGCAGGCUUAACCCAUGCAAUUCGAGCGAGCGGCGGAAGGGUGAGUAAUGUCUGGGAAAAUGCCUGAUGGCGGGGGAUGACUUCUGGACACGGUAGCUAAUAUCGCAUACCCAACUAUGCGCCCAGAUUGGUUUAGCUGGUAGGUGGGGUAAUGGCUCACCUAGGCGACGAUCCCUCGCUGGUCUGAGAGGAUGACCAGCCACACUGGAACUGAGACACGGUCCAGACUCCUACGUGAGGCAGCAGGGGGGAAUAUUGCACAAUGGGCGCAAGCCUGAUGCAGCCAUGCCGCGUGUGUGAAGAAGGCCUUCGGGUUGUAAAGCACUUUCAGCGAGGAGGCGUUACUCGCAGAAGAAGCACCGGCUAACUCCGUGCCAGCAGCCGCGGUAAUUC
rnacentral:rRNA from 1 species